CACGUAGGGGGCGAGCGUUAUUCGGAAUUAUUGGGCGUAAAGGGCGCGUAGGCGGCUAGACAAGUCAGGGGUGAAAUCCCUCGGCUCAACCGAGGAACUGCCUUUGAAACUGUCUGGCUUGAGGCCGGGAGAGGGUGGUGGAAUUCCCAGUGUAGCGGUGAAAUGCGUAGAUAUUGGGAGGAACACCAGUGGCGAAGGCGGCCACCUGGACCGGUUCUGACGCUGAGGCGCGAAAGUGUGGGGAGCAAACAGG
rnacentral:rRNA from 1 species